GGUUAAGCGACUAAGCGUACACGGUGGAUGCCCUGGCAGUCAGAGGCGAUGAAGGGCGUGCUAAUCUGCGAUAAGCGCCGGUAAGGUGAUAUGAACCGUUAUAACCGGCGAUACCCGAAUGGGGAAACCCAGUGUGACUCGUCACACUAUCAUUAACUGAAUCCAUAGGUUAAUGAGGCGAACCGGGGGAACUGAAACAUCUAAGUACCCCGAGGAAAAGAAAUCAACCGAGAUUCCCCCAGUAGCGGCGAGCGAACGGGGAGGAGCCCAGAGCCUGAAUCAGCAUGUGUGUUAGUGGAAGCGUCUGGAAAGGCGCGCGAUACAGGGUGACAGCCCCGUACACAAAAGCGCAUGUGCUGUGAGCUCGAUGAGUAGGGCGGGACACGUGGUAUCCUGUCUGAAUAUGGGGGGACCAUCCUCCAAGGCUAAAUACUCCUGACUGACCGAUAGUGAACCAGUACCGUGAGGGAAAGGCGAAAAGAACCCCGGCGAGGGGAGUGAAAAAGAACCUGAAACCGUGU
rnacentral:rRNA from 12 species